rnacentral:rRNA from 1 species
UACGAAGGGGGCUAGCGUUGCUCGGAAUCACUGGGCGUAAAGCGCACGUAGGCGGCUUUCUAAGUCAGGGGUGAAAUCCUGGAGCUCAACUCCAGAACUGCCUUUGAUACUGGCGACCUUGAGUCCGGGAGAGGUGAGUGGAACUGCGAGUGUAGAGGUGAAAUUCGUAGAUAUUCGCAAGAACACCAGUGGCGAAGGCGGCUCACUGGCCCGGUACUGACGCUGAGGUGCGAAAGCGUGGGGAGCAACAGGG